GACGGAGGGUGCAAGCGUUGUUCGGAAUUACUGGGCGUAAAGGGCGUGUAGGCGGUCUGUUAAGUUCGGUGUGAAAGCCCCCGGCUCACCUGUGGAACUGCGCCGGAAACCGACAGACUCGAGUACCGGAGAGGAGGGUGGAAUUCCUGGUGUAGCGGUGAAAUGCGCAGAUAUCAGGAGGAACACCGGUGGCGAAGGCGGGUCUCUGGGCCGAUACUGACGCUGAGGAGCGAAAGCGUGGGGAGCAAACAGG
rnacentral:rRNA from 1 species